rnacentral:rRNA from 1 species
UACGUAGGGUGCAAGCGUUGUCCGGAAUUAUUGGGCGUAAAGAGCUCGUAGGCGGUUUGUUGCGUCGGCUGUGAAAUCCCGAGGCUCAACCUCGGGUCUGCAGUCGAUACGAGCAAACUAGAGUGUUGCAGGGGAGACUGGAAUUCCUGGUGUAGCGGUGAAAUGCGCAGAUAUCAGGAGGAACACCGAUGGCGAAGGCAGGUCUCUGGGCAUUAACUGACGCUGAGGAGCGAAAGCAUGGGGAGCGAAACAGGA